rnacentral:rRNA from 1 species
CCUACGGGAGGCAGCAGUGGGGAAUAUUGGGCAAUGGGCGCAAGCCUGACCCAGCGACGCCGCGUGAAGGAAGAAGGCUUUCGGGUUGUAAACUUCUUUUCUCAGGGACGAAGAAAGUGACGGUACCUGAGGAAUAAGCCACGGCUAACUACGUGCCAGCAGCCGCGGGAAUACGUAGGUGGCAAGCGUUAUCCGGAUUGAUUGGGUGUAAAGGGUGGGUAGGCGGGAGUGCAAGUCAGAUGUGAAGACUCCGGGCCCAACCCUCGGCCUGCAUUUGAAACUGGCGUGCUUGAGUGCUGGAGAGGCAAGCGGAAUUCGGUGUGUAGCGGUGAAAUGCGUAGAUAUAAGGAGGAACACCAGUUGCGAAGGCAGAUUGCUGGACCGUAACUGACGCUGAGGCGCGAAAGCGUGGGGAGCAAACAGGAUUAGAUACCCUUGUAGUC